GGCAAGGGCAAGGUCCGAAGUCAGGCUUCCAGUUCUUUGGCCUGCCGGCCGGAUGUGGCCUGCUUUAUGAUUUUUGUUGAGCUCGGGAGCCGAGAACGGUUUUACAUUUUGUAACUGUUGAAAAAUACGAAGAGAUUAUUUUGUAACAAAAUUAUGUAAAAUUCUAACUUCAGCGUCCAUGAAGUUUUACUGGAACAUUUGUUAUGUCUGUCCAGGACUGCUGUGCAGAACAUCAGAGUUGAGCAAUUAUGAGAGACCGUGUGGCCCCCGAAGCCUGAAGCGUGUACUAUGUACCUGAACCUUCACAGUACGAAGCACAACAGAAAAGGGCCUCCUUCACCUGUUGGCGGAGACUUCCUAGUUCUCAAUCUUCAUGACUCCCCUUGCCGCCCUUGACGUAAGACAGAACCUCCGUAAGCAAGAAAUCCACAUACCUGUUUGCUUAUAUGCAAUGUGCAUUGAAUCCUGGUAACUGUGAUUACCCGGAGUAGGGGAGGAUAAGAGGAAUUGGGGAUAGGAAGAGGACUUGCUCUUCACUCAAGUGCUGUUUGAAUUCUGUCACAUACAUAUUACUUUGCAUUUUUUAUUUAAAAACAUUUCAAGCCUACUGAAGGGUGUUAGGAACACCUGUAAGUGUCCUGUACCCACCAACAAGUUCAUGCAUUCUACCUCCCUCCCACUCCAUUCUCCUCACCCCCACCCUGCAGACCUCUUCAACCACCCCCAGGAGUGAAGGAGACCUCAGAAUGCUUAACAUUCUCAGCAGGGGGCAGUGCUAACAACUGAUAGGUCAGAAGGCCAGUUGAAAGUUGGUUGCCAUCCCAUAGACUGUUGACCAGCAUGUGGACUUUUUAUUUUGCAAAUUUAGACUUACAAAAAAGUUGCCAGGAUAGCACCCUCUGCUCAGAUUCCCCUAAUGUUAACUAACCACGGUAGAAGGACCAAAGCCAGGGGAUUAACAAUGAUACAACACUGUUCACUCAUCUACUAACUUUAUUUGAAUUUUGCCAAAUGUCCCACUAGCAUCCUUUUCUGGUCUAGGACCCCGUUCAAACCCCACGCGGCAUCUAGUUGUCCUGUUCCCUUCCACUCCUACCUGGGACAAUCCUCCAUCUCUCCUUUCAGUGCAACGCUUUGGCCAGUUCUUUUGUAGGACAGAUCUCACUGUUUUCUCCUUACUAGAUUGAAGUCGUCAUGCAUUUUUGGCAAGAAUACCACAGAAGUGAUGUGCCCUUCUCAGGAUACGGUAUCAGGUGGUGUUGGUGUGGCUAGUACCGGUCAUAAUGAUUUUGAUCACUUGGUAAAAGUGGUGUCUCCCUGAGGUUUCUCUGCUAUAAAGUCACUGUUUUCCUUUGUAAUUAAUAAAUAUUCUGUGGGGAGAUGCUUUGUGACUAUAUAAAUAUCCUAUCCCCUUCAUACUUUUUCCCACUAAUUUAGUAUCCCUUGAGGAUUCUUGUUUGCAACAGUUACUGCCGUAGCUUUUACCAAAUAGUGAUUUUUCUAUUUCCACUGUUCUUUCUCCAUUAAUGGGAAUUCUGCUGUAAAAAGAAAUUGUCUCUUUCCCCCAUUUAUGUACCUCAGUCCAUUAUCUUUCUAUCGUUAUGGAUGGUCUCUUAGAUAUUACUAUUAUUUUGUGCUCCUAUGAUACCAGAGUUGGCUAUUGAGAGCUUGUCUGAGGUAGCCCCUGUGCUCUUUGACACACCGCCAUCAUUCCUGGAGCACUUCCUUACUGUCUGGCACAAGAUGUUCCAGGCCCAUCUGGUAAUUUUCCUCCCAGCCCAGGAGUCAACAGUUUCUCUAUGAGCCCUGGUUUGUUUUCGUGGAGAAUGGUAUUUAGAAAGUAGGGUCUAGGCACCAAUCAGAUUUAACUUGGUUGAAUGAGAAUGCCAAACUGGACUGGCCUUCAGAAGAGCUUGGGAAGGAGAGAGGCAAACUGUGUAGGGCAGAGAGGGGAGGUGAGAAGCUAAGACACAAACAGACACUGAGGUUGAGAGAGAGUGCAGAGCAGUGUGAGCCAAGGGAGGGAGGGCAGCGUGACUGUUCAGUCCUUGGCUGGGAGUACCCUUGGGAAGCAUAGCCUCCAUGCAAAUAUAAGGAAGGAUUCAGAAAAAAACCAUCAGCAAAACAAGAAAAGAAAACCUAUGGAAUGGGAGAAGAUAGUUGCAAAUGACAUAUCUGAUAAAGGAUUGAUAUUCAAAGUAUAUGAUGAACUUCUAUAACUCAACACCAAAAAACCCCGAAUAAUCAUUUAAAAUGUACAGAGGACUUGAACAGAUACUUCUCCACAGAAAAAAUACAGAUGACCAACAUCACUGAUCAUCAGGGAAAUGUAAAUUAAAACCACAAUGAGCUAUCACUUCACACCAUUUGAGAAUGGCUCAAAAACUCAAAAUGCAAGACUCAAAAACAUAAGAAAUCACAAAUGUUGGUGAGGAUGUGGAGAGAAGGGGACCUUGGUGCACUGUUGGUGGGAAUGCAAAUUGUGUAGCCAUUGUGGAAAACGGCAUGGAGGUUCCUGAAAAAAUGAAAAUAGUAUUACCAUCUGACCCAAUACCAUAUGAUCCGAAUACCCACUACUGGGUAUUUACCCAAAGAAAACAAUAACACUAACUCAGAAAUAUAUAUGCACCCCUAUCUUUAUUGUAGCAUUAUUGACAAUGUCCAAGAUGCACAAGCCACCCAAGUCAAUCCGUAGAUGAAUGGAUAAAGAAGAAGUGGUAUAUAUACAGCAGAAUAUUAUAAAAGAGAAUGACAUAAAAGAAUGGCACAAGAUGUUCCAGGAGCAUCUGGUAAUUUCAAGCCAUAAAAAAGAAUGAAAUCUUGCCAUUGAUGACAACAUGCAUGGAUCUAGAGGGUAUUAUGCUAAGUGAGGUAAGUUAAAUCCCAUAUGAUUGUACUUAUGUGCAGAAUCAAAAGAACAAAGAAAAUAGAUCCAUAGAUACAGGGAACAAACUAAUGGUUGCUGGGUAAGGGAGUGGGCAAACAUGAGUGAAGUGGGGUGGGGGAUAUAGACUUCCAGUUUGGGAAUGAGUAAGUCAUGGGAAUAAAAAGGGAUGCAUAGGGAAUGUCAUCAAUGGCAUUGUAACACGUUGUAUGGUAAUAGAUGGGAACUACGCUUGUGAGCAUACAUGUAGACUUAUGGAGUCACUAUUUUGUACAUCGGAAACUAAAGUCACACUGUGUAUCAACUAUACUUCAAUUAAAAAAACAAGGAGGAGCACCUGGGUAGCUCAGUAGCUUGAGCAUCCCACUCUUGAUUAGGGCUCAGGUCAGGAUCUGAGGUCUGUGAUGCAGCCCAGUGUCAGGAUCUGCACUCAGCAGGGAGUCUGCUGGAGAUUCUUGCUCUCCCUCUCCUUCUGCUUCUCUCCUCUUUCUAAAAUAAAUACAUCUUAAAAAGAAAAAAAUGCCUCACACCCUCCCCCCAAUCAAGGAACACUGGGCUGCAGGCAGAGCUUGUGCUGGGGUAUAUACCUGGGGCCUGAAGUUGGGAGGAAGAGGACUUACCAUUUUUAUCUUACAGUGUUUCCUUUUGUCAAACUGAAGAACAAUGGAAGGGACGCAGAUGACUAGUGCAGUGGGGUUCACCCAGCACAAACAGGUCUUUGCAUGGAGGGGCCAGUUGCUUUGCGGUUCCAAAUGCUGAGAUCCUUGGGGCUCAGAGGGAGUACAGCUAUCAAACUCCUCUGCUUGUUACCCACAGCAAGAAGUACAUCUUACAAUGUGUCCUAACAUAUAGAUACCUGUUCAACUUAUAUCAAUACCCACUCUUGUGAUGUAUGACACAAGCUGUUUUCCUAGGCAGGUUACUUCCCGCUAGUUUCAUUCCCUUACAUACUAACGAAUGGAUCUUAACCUACAGUUUGAAGAACACCCUCCAGGACAAACUCUUACUGUGCAGACAGGGUAACUGAGGCCUAAGAAGGGAAUGGAGUGUCCCAAAUGCUAUGGCUUUUCGAGAUGACCAUUUUACUUAAUGACCUUUCAAACAAUGCUACAUUUGUAUAGCUACUGGAGGGAAAUAGGUCUGGAUAAUGAGAGUGUGAAGAGCUAGAUGAAAUUAGGUUGAGGGUCUUGAACCAGAGACUUGCUGGCCUUAUUCCAUAGCCCCAAAUUCCUAAUGUUGGAGGCCUAAUGUUGGGCUCUUUGAAACUAAAUAAAUGUUUUAUCCUUCACAUGUCCCUUCAUGACUUACUCAGCAAAAGCUCUGGGAAGGUACUAGGCAGAGGCCCGCCUGCAGGAGGAAGGUGUGAGUGCCUUGCCCUCAGGGUGCUCCCGAGAGAGUGUCCUUGGGAGGCAGACAGACAAGCAGCCACAGAGGACCUUGCAGGAAGAGAUGUACAGGGUGGGGGUGGGGCACGUUGAGGAUUUGGGGCCUGGAGAGCAAAGUGUGAUGGAAAUGACAAGGAGGGGCUGGAGACACAGAAGCUUCAUGAUGGAGGCCUUGUCUGCCUGCCACCCAACAGAGUUUAAACUUCAUCCUGUGGGCAGUGGGGGCCGGUGAUGGUGCUCUGAGAAGAGGCGGUCACCUGGCCAGAUUUGUAUCCUUUACACUGACUCCUAUAGCCACAGGAAGCUGGUGGCCAUGACACUGCGGUACAUGGAAGCUACCCUGUGAGGUGACCCAGGUCUAGAAAAAGGAAGCUGGAGUUUGCAGUGAACAGCUGACAGCAAGAGCAGACCAUCUGAGGCAUGAAGGCAACUUUGCUACCCCCACCCCCACCCCAAGUAUAGAGACCAUGUGCGCUUUUCUAAAGACAUGGCCCUGACAUCAGAGAGACUUCUCAAACCCACUAUCCUGAGGGUCUGCCCUAGAGAAUCACACCAGCCGGAGCUCCAGAACUCAGUCCCUGAGCCCCUCUGUUGGGCUAGGCACUUGAGCACAAGGUGGAGUGUCACAGUGAAAAAGACAUGCAGUACUGUGCCGCGCGGACCUGGGUUCGACUCCUGCCUCUUCCACAUAAAAUUAGGUGACUUUAGGAAAGUUGGUUAACUUUGCCCUGGAUUAUGUAUAGUUUCCUCAUUGUCCAACAGGGAGCAGGGGGUAAGUGUGGAUGAGUUAAUGUGUUUGAAGUCUGCUAUAAAUCCCAAAUCCACUCUUGUAA